rnacentral:rRNA from 1 species
GACACGCUUGCGGCGUGCCUAAGAAAUGCAAGUCGAGCGAGGCUAGAGAGCUUGCUCUCGAAACCUAGCGGCGAACGGUCGCGUAACACGUAAGCAACCUGCCCCCAAGACCGGGAUAGCCCGCCGAAAGGUGGAUUAAUACCGGAUGUGGACACGUGGAGGCAUCUCUGUUGUGCUUAAAUCAGGCAACUGGCUUGGGGAUGGGCUUGCGGCCUAUCAGCUAGUUGGUGUGGUAACGGCGCACCAAGGCGACGACGGGUAGCUGGUCUGAGAGGAUGGUCAGCCGGACUGGGACUGAGACACGGCCCAGACUCCUACGGGGGGCAGCAAUUAGGAAUCUUGCGCAAUGGGGGAAACCCUGACGCAGCGACGCCGCGUGAAGGAUGAAGGCCUUCGGGUCGUAAACUUCUUUUAAGAGGGAAGAAUCAAGUGACGGUACCUCUUGAAUAAGCCCCGGCUAACUACGUG